rnacentral:lncRNA from 7 species
GGGUCACUAACAGCAACAAAUAAGCCCUUCGGCUUUCCUCCUUUCACAUAACCUCAGCCACGACUCCGCCGCGGAGAGCUCCGGUGAGCCCACGCCGGAUCGUCCACGGCGGCCCGACAUAGUCAACGGCCACGGCAUCAACACACUCUAUGAACCAAAGCAAACUCAUCCACGUGUUCAAUUCAACCGCGGAGGCUCUGGACCCGGGUGACCGACGACGGCGGCGGAAGAGCUAGUCCGGCGAGUUCAAUCUCGCGGCCACCGUGCGGUACAACUCUGACCAAGGGCAUGGAGAGUAUCACUGAUCUACCACGACCACUGUGCUUACGCGAAAAUAACUGGAGACAACACGAGUUACCGGGUUGGCCCAGAGGCUGUUCCCAGCGCAAAUCCAUGGAGGCGCGGCUAUGUUCACUACCACAUUCAACAGUAGAGCUCGAACAACGAAUCUAGAGAGCUUCACUGACCUCUGAAGAUCACGGGACGAGAACUAUACGGGCGUGCAAUUCUCUGGAACGUUCUGGCCACGGCGAGGUAGGGGUCUCGGUGGGUGUAGUCACCAACUCGAGAGCUGGCGUGCAAGGCUUUGGGGCAGACCCAGCUUGGUGAUUGGAAGGGGAACUACCCAAACUUGAACACCAGCACUUCUUCACUCACUCGAUGAUUACAAGCUAGAGCUCGAGAGCAGGGAUUCCCUCACUGGACCGUGCCCUAAAGCAAUGAACAAGAAUUUGUU